GCUUACGGCCAUAUCAGCCUGGGUACUCCCGAUCUCGUCUGAUCUUGGAAGCUAAGCAGGGUCGGGCCUGGUUAGUACUUGGAUGGGAGACCACCUGGGAAUACCAGGUGCUGUAAGCA
rnacentral:rRNA from 1 species